UACAGAGGUCUCAAGCGUUGUUCGGAUUCAUUGGGCGUAAAGGGUGCGUAGGCGGCGCGGUAAGUCGGGUGUGAAAUCUCGGAGCUUUAACUCCGAAACUGCAUUCGAUACUGCCGUGCUUGAGGACUGGAGAGGAGACUGGAAUUUACGGUGUAGCGGUGAAAUGCGUAGAUAUCGUAAGGAAGACCAGUGGCGAAAGGCGGGGUCUCUGGACAGUUCCUGACGUGAGGCACGAAGGUCAGGGGAGCAAACGGGG
rnacentral:rRNA from 1 species